ensembl:processed_transcript Vmn1r227 vomeronasal 1 receptor 227
AUGAUCCUUACACACACAUAUUCCAAGCAAGAAAACUUCAGUAUAUGCUUUAACUCAGAAAUUCAAUUGCUGCCUCGAUUUAAAAAAAAAAAUGCUGAAAGCCAGAAUGGACUUGAGAACCAUGGCAAUUGGAAUAGUGCUCUCACUUCAGACAGCACUUGGUAUUCUAGGAAACUUUUUUCUUCUUUUCUACUACCUAAUCCUUUACUUCAAUAAACAUACAUUAAAGGUCAUAUAUAGGAUUUUUAUACAUAUGUUCAUAUCCAACUCCUUGAUUAAUAUCUCCAUCGGAAUCCCUGGGGCAUUUGAAGCCUUUGGGUGGAAUCUGGUAUUCAAUGAUUUCGGGUGCAAGCUUCUUUUUUAUAUUCAAAGACUUGCCAGAAGUAUGUCCAUCAGUACCACCUGUCUCCUGAGUGUCUUUUGGGUAAUCACCAUCAGCCCCAGGAACUACUGCUGGAAGGAAUUUAAAAUCAAAACUACAAAGUUUGUGAACCUAUCCAUUUGUCUCUCCUGGAUCCUGUUGAUGCUAGUAAAUAUGCUUUUCCCUGUCUACACAACUACCAAGAGGAAUUUAGAAAAUGUGACACAGAUGAGUGAUUCUCAGUUCUGCUACUCUGUAGACCAUGAUAAAAUAGUAUAUUUAUUGUAUAUAGCAUUUUGUAUGUUUCCUGAAGUCUUACUUUCUAUACUCCUUGUAUGUUCCAGCAUCUUCAUGAUUGUCAUACUUUACGUACACAAGAAGAGGGUUCAGCAUACCCUUCAUGCUCAUUCUUCCCUCAGAACUUCCACUGAAAACAGAGCUGUACAGACCAUCCUGGUUCUGGUUUGCACCUUUGUAGUAUUUUGUACUCUCUCUUCCAUUUUACUAGGCUAUAUUGCUCUUUUAGAUAAUCCCAGUCGGUGGUUGAUGAAUAUCACAGCCAUAAUUUCUAUGUGUUUUCCUACAUUAGGUCCAUUUGUGAUAGGUUGUGAUUUCACUCUUUUUAGAUUCUGCUUUACAUGGACAAGAAAUAUAAAAAUACCAUAA